GCCCGCUCAGAAACUACAAAGGAAUUGACGGGGGCCCGCACAAGCGGUGGAGUAUGUGGUUUAAUUCGAUGCAACGCGAAGAACCUUACCUGGUCUUGACAUCCCGGAGACCCUUAGGAAACUAGGGGGUGCUUCCAUCUGGAAGAAUCUGGAGACAGGUGCUGCAUGGCUGUCGUCAGCUCGUGUCGUGAGAUGUUGGGUUAAGUCCCGCAACGAGCGCAACCCUUGCCUUUAGUUGCCAGCAGUUCGGCUGGGCACUCUAAAGGGACUGCCGGUGUUAAACCGGAGGAAGGUGGGGAUGACGUCAAGUCCUCAUGGCCUUUAUGACCAGGGCUACACACGUACUACAAUGGCCGAUACAAAGGGCAGCGACACUGCGAGGUGAAGCCAAUCCCGUAAAAUCGGUCUCAGUCCGGAUUGGAGUCUGCAACUCGACUCCAUGAAGUUGGAAUCGCUAGUAAUCGUGGAUCAGCAUGCCACGGUGAAUACGUUCCCGGGCCUU
rnacentral:rRNA from 1 species